rnacentral:rRNA from 1 species
CCAAACUGUUGCCUCGGCGGGAUCUCUGCCCCGGGUGCGUCGCAGCCCCGGACCAAGGCGCCCGCCGGAGGACCAACCAAAACUCUUUUUGUAUACCCCCUCGCGGGUUUUUUUAUAAUCUGAGCCUUCUCGGCGCCUCUCGUAGGCGUUUCGAAAAUGAAUCAAAACUUUCAACAACGGAUCUCUUGGUUCUGGCAUCGAUGAAGAACGCAGCGAAAUGCGAUAAGUAAUGUGAAUUGCAGAAUUCAGUGAAUCAUCGAAUCUUUGAACGCACAUUGCGCCCGCCAGUAUUCUGGCGGGCAUGCCUGUCCGAGCGUCAUUUCAACCCUCGAACCCCUCCGGGGGGUCGGCGUUGGGGAUCGGCCCUCCCUUAGCGGGUGGCCGUCUCCGAAAUACAGUGGCGGUCUCGCCGCAGCCUCUCCUGCGCAGUAGUUUGCACACUCGCAUCGGGAGCGCGGCGCGUCCACAGCCGUUAAACACCCAA